rnacentral:lncRNA from 1 species
AAGCAAUCAGAUCACAAAACCCUACACAGAUACCCAGUCAUCCGGUCGACCCGGAGAGGUAAAAAUCCAAACUUUCUCUUUUAAAACCUUUCGCUUUCAGAGAUUCAGAAAAAAGAAAGUGAUUGGCGAGGAGGAUGGAGAGGCCUACUCCAUAAAACGAAACAGAGCAUUGUUCCAGUGCCCGGCGGCCGAACUUCUUGGCAAUGUCUUCGAUGCAAACGUGGGCGUCCUCCAUCUGUUGCCGGUCGCCGAUGUGGGCCCACUCGCCAUGCCGGAGCGCGGGGACGAAGUUCGCCGUGGCCUUCUGGUUGUCCCCUGGUCCUUUGAG